rnacentral:lncRNA from 1 species
AAUCAUCAAUCAAUCAUACAUAUUAAUAAAUAUGUAUAUCAUCGGCUAUUUUAUUAGCUAAUCACUAGCAAGUAUUUACACAUCAUUCAUUGUUCAUAUUAUACCAAAAGUAGCAAGUUUCUAUACAUGCCAUACCCAAAACAAAACGUCUAGUUAUACCGAGUUAUUUCUUUGAUAGUGUGAUCGGCCUCCGACGUUUCCUUCGAUCCCCGAGUGACUAGAUAAGUACUAUAAGAAGAAGAAAAUAAAGAGAUUAAGCACUAGGCUUAGUAAGCUUACAAGCAAAUAAAUCACAACAUUCAACAUAAUGGAUAAUUAUGCAUAAUAUCAUCUAACAUCAUAAAUUUCUUUACUUCUCAAUUUGUAUCUUCUUCUUUAUUCCCUUACUUUCUUUCUUACCUGACCUUUCCUUUUUCAUAAGUAUAAUCUACUUUUCCUUUGCUGUUAAUUCACUGUAAUUUAACUCGUAUCCUGACCCGUUGAACCACUCGGAAUACUAAGGAUACUAAGGUCGUUCCUGUCUAUCAAUAUCCUGCCAAUGCCAUGUCUUUGACAUGGACUUACAUGAAUUAUUCCUGUCUCCAAUGCCAUAUAUAAUAUGGACUUACAUGGCUCAAUCCUGUCUCCAAAGCCAUAUUUCUAAUAUGGACUUACAUGGCGCAUUUCUGUUCUGUCCUGUCAACUCUAAUAUCCUAACAUUCCUAGGGUUCAACCGGGGCUUUCUAACACUUUUCCUCUGUCACUCCACCUUAAAUUCGACUUUACAUAUUUUCAUAACAUAAGUAUAUAAAUGCUGGAAAUUGACAAUAAUAAUGUAAAAUAAAAGAAUAUUGCAUUUAUUUACUGUAACUUACCUUGAUACAAAAUGUGACUAAACUUUACAAUUUAGUCCUUUACUUUUUCUUUUCCCCGAUCUACUCCCGAAUUUCGUUCUUCUUGAUCUAUAAUAGCAAAUUUAACUUAUUUAAUAUUCACAUUUAUUAAAACAGUCCUUGACCCAAACUUUUGCAAAAUUAUAUUUUUACCCCUAAACUUUCACAUAUUUGCACUUUUUCCCCAAGGAUCGUAAAUUAAACUUCAUCCUAUUUUCUUAUGUUUUAUGACAUGCUGAUCAUUUUUCCCUUCUAUGGCAAUAUCAAAAUCACACUCUAACAUAUACUUAUGACUAUUGAUAUUUUUUUCCAAUUUAAGCCCUUUUACUCGUUUUCACUUAAAACCGAGUAGCAUAAGUUGUUUAACAUAAUUUAAAACCUCAUAUUCUAUCAUAAAACACCAAAAUACACAAAUUUCAGCCAUGGGUAUUUUUCCAAAUAUGAACCCUAGGCUGAAUUAUUGCUAGAAUAAGCUUAAUCAAGUUACCGGGACUCCAAAAACGUAAAGAUCAUUAAAAACGGGGCUUGGAAUCACUUACUAUGAAGCUUGAAAGUUGAAGAAACCCCAGCUAUGGAGGAGAGCAAAAAUCGGCAGAAACUAAUUGAGAAGAUG